GUGACAAUAGCUUAAAAUAGAGCAGUGGUCUUGUAAAUCACAGGUGAAUAAUAUUUAUUCUUGUUACU
rnacentral:tRNA from 1 species